rnacentral:rRNA from 1 species
AGAGUUUGAUCAUGGCUCAGAACGAACGCUGGCGGCGUGCCUAACACAUGCAAGUCGAACGUGAUUAGAGAGCUUGCUCUCUAUGAAAGUGGCGCACGGGUGAGUAACGCGUAGAUAAUCUGCCUGAUGAUCGGGGAUAACACUUCGAAAGGGGUGCUAAUACCGGAUAAGCCCACGGUGUCUUCGGACGUUGCGGGAAAAGGGGGGGACCUUCGGGCCUUCUGUCAUCAGAUGAGUCUGCGUACCAUUAGCUAGUUGGUAGGGUAAAGGCCUACCAAGGCGACGAUGGUUAGCUGGUCUGAGAGGAUGAUCAGCCACACUGGAACUGAGACACGGUCCAGACUCCUACGGGAGGCAGCAGUGGGGAAUUUUGCGCAAUGGGGGAAACCCUGACGCAGCAACGCCGCGUGAGUGAUGAAGGCUCUUGGGUCGUAAAGCUCUGACAGAGGGAAAGAAGUGUAUUGUGGCUAAUAUCCACGAUACUUGACGGUACCCUCAAAGGAAGCACCGGCUAACUCCGUGCCAGCAGCCGCGGUAAUCGGGGGGUGCAAGCGUUGUUCGGAUUUAUUGGGCGUAAAGCGCGUGUAGGCGGUUUGUUAAGUCUGUUGUGAAAGCCCUGGGCUCAACCCGGGAAGUGCACUGGAUACUGGCAAACUUGAAUACGGGAGAGGAGAGUGGAAUUCCUGGUGUAGGAGUGAAAUCCGUAGAUAUCAGGAGGAACACCGGUGGCGAAGGCGGCUCUCUGGACCGAUAUUGACGCUGAGACGCGAAAGCGUGGGUAGCAAACAGAUUAGAUACCCNNGUAGUCC